UGGUGACCGCUGAUCCCUACACACACGCACACACGUAAGGAAGUAUCUCCGGUGUAGUUAAUGGUUCUGUCUUCUUCCACGUAAAUGGGAACCGGCUAAGGUUGACCUAGAAUGGUUCUGAAGUCUUUGGGUGUCUUGCUUUUAUACACAGACUUGAACCAUGGUCCUGUACCCUGCUAUCUUCCCAGCCCAUCAGCUCCUAGGAUUCUGGUGACCCCCAGGCUCCCAGAACGGGCUCAGAAACAGGCUCCAGGUGACACCAAGCAUCUAUGUAGGUAACCAUCCGACUAAGGGACUCCUUGUCUGCUUUUAAUCCUUUUUUUUUUUCUAAACUCACAGAAGCUCACCUUCCAUACUUCUAAACUCCAGCAAGCACCAACUUGUAUUUCCAUACCAAGAACGAAUUUUAUCACUGGGUUAAAAGUAAAAGGCAAAAAUAAGAAAAGCUGCUUUAGAGUCUGUCUCUUGGUGAGGUGUCAAACCUGUGAUUUUUUUUUUUUUUUCUCAACCCAACACUGGCCUUCAUCCUCAGGGGACCACAGGGGUGGUGAGCUUCCCUCAAAGGAUUCUAUCAGCCAGGUCCUUUCUUCCUUGUUCCAGGUCUUUCUGGGUUAGGAUAACUCUGGGGAAUUCUAAUCACAACCCUAUCCAAGCUCCGUCUUUACCACCAAACAAACACAUUUCACAACUCAAAGGAAUUUAAUUUGGCCUCACACUUCCAGUGGCACAAAACUCAAAAGAAGUGAAAGGCUGACGGUUCAGCUAAUGAGCAACUAGAUCUGGGCUCCCACUGCCAACUGGAUCUAAUUAAGAAGCAUUAAUACACUAAUGACGCUCAGAGAGAAAGAGCAGACAGGACACAGGGUUCCAGACAGCAGCGGGUCAAACUGCAAAGGCUCCAGGCACAACUCAAUCCCCAGACAUUCAGCACUGUACAGCAGACCUGGCCUGGCAAGAUUUCUCGAAGGAAGACCUCAUUCCAUCCUGGUGAUGGCUGUGUACACAAACAUCUAUCUGAUGGAUGAGGAGCCUCUCACAGGCCCGGGAAGAUUCCAUUUUCAACUCCAGCACAUAACUGGCUUCCCUGAACGCAGAGCUAGAUUUGGCUCUUUUCUGGGGGUCUUGGCACCGUGGCUUCCAUAUCUGAGUUGAGACAAAUACACCUGUGUGGGUUUCCUGACAGGUACAUGCCCUUCUGAGCCGAAGUGACUCUUCUGGCAGGGUGCCCAAGUCCUGAGCUACCUCCUAGCUGAGAGCCAUGGAUCCUGGAGCCCCCGAGUUGGAGAUAAAAGCUGCCUCCAUGAAAACACAGAAGAAAUUCACAUGAGGGUAUUUCUCAACCUGAGACACAGAAGGGCCUGUCCAAAAAGAAUAUAAACUUUUGAAGCCUUGAGAAUGCUCAACUGAGGAAAAGCCUGGUUCUGCCACUUCCCAGGGAGGCUUCGGGGAACGUCCCCACCAGUCUUUCCAGUCCUUUCCUAGCUCAGUUGAUCACCCAACUCUUAAUGCCUGUCAUUCUACCAACAACUUGAAUGUCACCUGCUCACCACCCAAUCCAAAUCCAUUCCCUCUUCACACAGCCCAGUUCACAACCCGGAUUUCAUUUGUUCAUUCUGAAAAGGUUUUUUUUCUUUUUCUCCUACCAGUCCACGAUUCAGGAAAUAAAGAGCAAAUUUGCUGUGACUGAC